rnacentral:tRNA from 1 species
GCACUGGUGAUUCAGGGUAGAAUUCUCACCUUCCAUGCAGGAUACCCAGGUUUGAUUCCAGGCCAAUGCA